rnacentral:rRNA from 1 species
UACAGAGGUCUCAAGCGUUGUUCGGAUUCAUUGGGCGUAAAGGGUGCGUAGGUGGCGCGGUAAGUCGGGUGUGAAAUCUCGGAGCUUAACUCCGAAAUUGCAUUCGAUACUGCCGUGCUUGAGGACUGGAGAGGAGACUGGAAUUCAUGGUGUAGCAGUGAAAUGCGUAGAUAUCGUAAGGAAGGCCGGUGGCGAAAGCGAGCCUCUGGACAGUUACUGACGCUGAUGCACGAAGGCCAGGGGAGCAAACGGG